rnacentral:piRNA from 1 species
UACGAGUGAUGGUUCCUGCCCAGGGUUCAAU